CUAACAUGGAAUAAUAAGCGAGGGAGGUUGAAAUCCUUCGGUCCUUAACGUUUUCCUGCCAUCGGCCAGUCGUCGACGAGAAUGUCCCUGCAUUCAGGCCAUCCCUGCCUUGUCUACAGAAGGUAUUUGAGUUCCCUCUGUGGAAGACAGAGAGAGGGGCUGUAAACAGCUGUAAUAAGGUUCUCUCUCUCUUGAAGACAGAGAGGGGCUGUAAACAGCUGUAAUAAUGUAUUCUCUCUCUUGAAGACAGAGAGAGGGGCUGUAAACAGCUGUAAUAAUGUAGAGGUGGACAGAGAGAGAGGACAGAGAGAGAGGACAGAGAGAGAGGACAGAGAGAGAGGACAGAGAGAGAGGACAGAGAGAGAGGACAGAGAGAGAGGGCAGAGAGAGAGGGCAGAGAGAGAGGGCAGAGAGAGAGGGCAGAGAGAGAGGGCAGAGGGAGAGGGGGCAGAGAGAGAGAGAGGGCAGGGCAGAGAGAGAGAGGGCAGAGAGAGAGAGAGAGGGCAGAGAGAGAGAGAGAGAGAGAGAGAGAGACAAAGAGAGAGAGGGCUCAGGCAGGAAAUAUUUUUCCAUUGUGAGAAAUGCCCAUGUAACGUCUUUUUUUUUUUUAGAGGCACAAUAUAUAAUCCCUCCCCCUCACCUCCUGGAAGUGACAUUUAUAGUCCCUCCAUCCCUCCCCCUCACCUCCUGGAAGUAACAUUUAUAGUCCCUCCAUCCUUCCACCUCACCUCCUGGAAGUGACAUUUAUAGUCCCUCCAUCCUUCCCCCACACCUCCUGGAAGUGACAUUUAUAGUCCCUCCAUCCCUCCCCCUCACCUCCUGGAAGUGACAUUUAUAGUCCCUCCAUCCUUCCCCCUCACCUCCUGGAAGUGA
rnacentral:lncRNA from 1 species